rnacentral:lncRNA from 1 species
GCUGGAGGGUCCAUGAGAUGGAAGUCGGUUGGGAUGGCCUGGGCCCUGGCCAGUGCCAGGAGGCCUGGUUCCGAUGCCCUGCUCGAAGCCAGCCAGUCCCUGAGGAGAGACAGUCAGUCAGCAGGCAGCACUUUCUGUGUCUUACGCAGCAGGUGACGGCAGGGAGUCUGACCCUGCUUUUACCAUGAAAACCAACAAUCUCAGCCAGGCAAGACCUGAAGACCAAGCUGGGACACAGGCCACAAAAGCCAUCUGAGUGACAGGGAUGGGGUGCAGGCCCAACCCAAGGGGAGCAGCCCAGACUGGCCCUGGCUGGUUAGGGCCAUGCUGGAUGGAUUCAGGCCCAAUAUUACCAGUUCUUCCUGUCAAAUCCAAACUAGGGGCAAAACAUUAUUUUACUUUUUCCGUAACCACUCACGAUCCAUCCCUAUUAGUUUUGGGGUGUUUUUUAAACCGUUAUUUUUGAAUAGGCAAUAGGUAACCACCAUCACCAGUUUCUUUUGUUUUCUUUCUGGGAUAAUCAAUGUAUAUGCAAUGCAAACGAGAGCACAUGUGCCUUGUUUGAUUCACUCAGUAUUACUGCAAUUCUUUCUAACAGCAAUGAAUUCAAACUUGUUUCCAGAUUAUAUGGGUCAGCUGGUACCUCUGGUUGGAGCUGUAGAGCAUAAGAAGUUGGCCUUUAGUCCUGAAGGAGAAAACUGAGGUCAAGGUAGUGAAGGGACAGGGAAGGCUGGGGUAAGUGGCCUGGCUAGGUCGCACACCCUUGCUCUCACUUCACUGCCCGCCAAAGCUAGCUCUUUUGCUCUGGACUCAGCUGGACAGAUCAAUGGAACAGCACUGAUAUACGUGCCAGACAGCACGGUGCCAGCUGCAAAGACAACAUAAAUUUCCCAAAGGGCAGGCUGUCUUGGAGGGAGGGAAGGGUGGCUCCAGAAAGCCGGGAGGGGCACAUCAAAUUGCCAGGGGCUGCAGGACCAGGUGAGUCCAGGUGCCAGCGCAUGACUGUGGCACAAAGCAGGGGUGGCCUGGUGGAGGGACCUCAAGAUUUAAGCAGUGAGGAAAAUAACAGACCUCUUCCAAGCGCAGCUUUCCCAACCUGGCAGACUUUGGCCAGGCCCAGACCCAGGAGUCUCACCCAGGCCGGCGGGGUGAUGCCUGCCCUGCAGAUCUGAUGCAGGGUGUCGGUGACUGAGUUUACAUAUCAACACUUUUCAUUUUCCCCUCUCCAAGGAAACCAGGCCCAGAGCCUGAUCCACUUAGCUCCUCCCACACCAUCAACAAAGAUAUUUACUAUGUUCCCAACCAGGGAGCUGGCGAGGAUGUAAACGGUCUUGCCAUCCUUAUGUCCUCUACACCCCAUCUGGAAAGGGGAGUCCUUGUGCUUAUGGCCCCCAUUUCCUUAUCUAGCUCCCUUCUAGUCUGCAACAUUCCAGCUCAUUCUCUUUUAUUUAUACCUCAAAUAUUUAUAUAUACUUUCCAAAAGAGACUGGAAGCAUCUGCCAAGAAGUGUGGAUUCCCUCAGUGGGAAUGGAAUCUUUUGGGGUUUGUAAACAGGGAGUGAUGCAAUCAACUUUGCAUUUGAUUAAAGCUGCUCUGGCCCCUAACGUGGGGGGUGCAGGAGGAGCACCAGGCACUAGAAACCUGUCUGCUGUGAAAACAAAAGAUACAGGCCCUAAGGAGGGCAGGAAGCAAUGGGGAGGAGGAAAAAGAGCCUAGGACGACUGGGGAAUCUUGCUGGGUGACUGUAUGCCAGGGGCUCCUUUUUUUCUUUUUUUUUUUUUUUUUUGAGACAGAGUUUCACUCUUGUUGCCCUGGCUGGAGUGCAAUGGCACAAUGGCGCGAUCUCGGCUCACCGCAACCUCCGCCUCCUGGGUUCAAGCGAUUCUCCUGCCUCAGCCUCCCAAGUAGCUGGGAUUACAGGCACCCGCCACCACCAUGCCUGGCUAAUUUUUGUAUUUUUAGUAGAGACGGGGUUUCAUCAUGUUGGCCAGGCUGGUCUCAAACUCCUGACCUCAGGUGAUGCCCCCUGCCUCGGCCUCCCAAAGUGUUGGGAUUACAGGCGUGAGCCACCACACCCGGCCCGGGGCUCCCUUCUCAGACAUGUGAAAUGCAGGUGGGACAGGUUGGAGACAAGAAGACAUCCAGCUACACAGCACUCAGCUUGAGUGAGUGUGGCGUGGGGCUCAGGAGGCAGCUGGAGCUCCAGGCUGGAGGGAUCCAGGCACCAUCAGCAGGGAGAUGGCAGCUGGCAUCAAGGAGGGCAUGCAGUGCAUGGGGCCAACCAUGCUGGGGAUACAGAGCUCUCUAAGAACUCGCAGGCCUCUCUCCAGGAGCAGGCACCCCUCCCACCCACCCGCUAUUUCAGGAGUGAAUGUGGAAGAUGUCCUAUGCACGAGCAGCAGAGGUGGAGGCUGACCUACGAGGCUGAAUGAACGAGUCUGUGAAGGAUUCUGCCAAGCAGCCAGAGGGAGGAGAACACGGAAGGCUUUUAAGGAGUGAGACCAACACUACUAGGACGCCCCACUGGACUCAGACGAGAUGAGGCUGGAGACACAGCCACUGGAUGAGCAGUCCUGGGCACAGGUGAGGCCACAGUGGGACUGCAGAGGUUAAGUGAAUGCCCUGAGGAACUGGGUCAGUGGCUUUUUAGAUGGAGAUGAUGGCUCAGCAAAGGGAGAGAGCAAAGAAGCAGGCAGACAGAGGCAGGCAACUGUGCAUGCUCACACCAGGAACAUGGUUUACAGAAGAGGAAACGGAGCAGAAAGACCCCACCGGGACAGAAAUCGGCCCUUCCCUGUUGCCCUCCAACACACAGCCCUGCACCAGUGUGGCCCCGUCCUGCCCUCACCAGAUGCAGGCCUGGGUCUUGGUGAUGGGUCGUGCAUAACCCUCAUUCUCUUGGGGGUCAGUGACCUCUGCUGUGUUUCUGGUCCAUCACCUGCACACUGCAAACAGGUAGCCCAGUAGGACUGAGAACCAGCCGGCGCCCACCUGUGCAGACCCAACUAACCAUCAGGCUGCCCGCAGACACAAGGAGGAUGGCUUCCCGCACGUCCACCUGCUUCAGCACUCCUCCAGAAGGAGCCGUCCUUGUCCUAACUAUGGAAAUGAAGGGAACAGAGACCUCCUGGCCCAGCAACAGAGUCUGGAAAGAGGACUGGUGACAAGGAUGGCACUUGGGCCCUUUGAGGGAGGCUGACUGAGAACCAGGGAAGAUGGUCCCAGGCGUUGGCCUCCCAGUCCUCUCCCAGAACAUGAGCCCGCUCGGUGAUGCCACACAGCAGAGCCACAAUGCCACUUCCAAGAACAGUUCCAACUGCUCAAGGAUGGAAGCACAGUCACGCACGCUGCCCAAGGCAACCUGAGGAUGCAUCACAUUCUCGGAUCCUCCCCGCCCCGACAUGUGAGUCAGGAUCCUGCGAGUGAGGUACAGGACACUGCAGGGAGAGAUCCAGCAAGCCCUGCCCCUCCUAUCCCUGCUCUGGAGCCAGGGGCAGUAGUGAGGCCCCUCCCCCAGACAAAUCCGGCCCCCUAUCACCUGCGAAUGUGUCCCCACCACCCCACUCCCACACCUAGUGCUACAGGUAGUGGAGUGAUCUAAGCAAUCUGGAGGCCAGACUUUAAUGCAAAUCAUACUACUCCAGUUAUUAAAUGUUUACAA